ensembl:lncRNA novel transcript
GCAGGUGGGAUUGGAUAGCGACGAAGGCCGGCAGGCUAGGCGUGGACCCAACUGGCGAGGCUGCUGGGGUUGCAGCGGGACAGUUGGGGCGGCCCCGCAGGCCCAGGUGAACAAAAAUUGUUUGCUGGCCCCCAGGAUACUAACUAGACCUUUGGCCUGACUCACAGGACACUAAGGCUCCUUUUCUGAAGAAGCCUUUUACCAGUCUCAUUUAGGGGAUGGGAACAACAUGUCUUCACCUAGGGACUUUAGAGCAGAGUCUGAUACGCGCAAAAUUGUUUCUGAAGGAGAACUAGAUCAGUUGGCUCAGAUUCGGCCAUUAAUAUUCAAUUUUCAUGAGCAGACAGCCAUCAAGGAUUGUUUGAAAAUCCUUGAGGAAAAAACAGCAGCGUAUGAUAUCAUGCAGGAAUUUAUGGCUUUAGAACUUAAGAAUCUGCCUGGUGAGUUCAACUCUGGGAAUCAACCAAGCAACAGAGAAAAAAACAGAUACCGAGAUAUUCUUCCAUAUGAUUCAACACACGUUCCUCUUGGAAAAAGCAAGGACUACAUCAAUGCUAGUUAUAUUAGAAUAGUCAAUUGUGGAGAAGAGUAUUUUUAUAUCGCUACUCAAGGACCACUGCUGAGCACCAUAGAUGACUUUUGGCAAAUGGUGUUGGAAAAUAAUUCGAAUGUUAUUGCCAUGAUAACCAGAGAGAUAGAAGGUGGAAUUAUCAAAUGCUACCAUUACUGGCCCAUUUCUCUGAAGAAGCCAUUGGAAUUGAAACACUUCCGUGUAUUCCUGGAGAACUACCAGAUACUUCAAUAUUUCAUCAUUCGAAUGUUUCAAGUUGUGGAGAAGUCCACGGGAACUAGUCACUCUGUAAAACAGUUGCAGUUCACCAAGUGGCCAGACCAUGGCACUCCUGCCUCAGCAGAUAGCUUCAUAAAAUAUAUUCGUUAUGCAAGGAAGAGCCACCUUACAGGACCCAUGGUUGUUCACUGCAGUGCCGGCAUAGGCCGGACAGGGGUGUUCCUAUGUGUGGAUGUCGUGUUCUGUGCCAUCGUAAAGAACUGUUCACUGCGGUAAAUAGCCACUAUGGAGACUAAGGACCAGAAGAAACACAGAAAGAAAAACAGUGGACCCAAAGCUGCAAAGAAAAAGAAGUGGCAUCUGCAGGAUCUCCAGCUAGGAGACGAAGAAAAUGCCCAGAAGAGAAAUGCCAAUGCUUUUGCAGUUCAGUCUGCUGUGUGGAUGUCUCGAUCCUUUCACAGGACUCUGGAUUUGAAGACACAAAAGCAUCAUAUUCCAGUGGUUGAUGGAACUCCACUAGAGCUGCCACCAAUACCGGUAGUGGUGACGGGGCCUCCAAAGUUGGAAAGAGCACUUUGAUAUAAUGCCUCAUUCGGAACUUCACCUGGCAGAAGUUCACCGAGAUCAGAGGCCCUGUGACGAUCGUGUCAGGUAAAAAGCGCAGACUCACCAUUAUUGAAUGUGGGUGUGACAUUAACAUGAUGAUUGAUCUGGCUGAAGUAGCAGAUCUGGUACUGAUGCUUAUAGAUGCCAGCUUUGGGUUUGAAAUGGAAAUGUUUGAGUUUCUAAACAUCUGUCAAGCACAUGGCUUUCCUAAAAUUCUGGGAGUUCUCACCCACCUCGACUCCUUCAAGCAUAACAAGCAACUGAAGAAGACAAAGAAGCGAUUAAAACACAGGUUCUGGACAGAAGUUUACCAGGUUGCCAAACUGUUCUACCUUUCUGGAAUGGUGCAUGGAGAAUAUCAAAACCAAGAAAUCCACAAUCUGGGCCAUUUUAUUACAGUUAUGAAGUUUAGGCCUCUCAUGGCAAACUUUUCACCCUUAUAUCCUGGCAGACAGGAUGGAAGAUUUGACAAACCCGGAGGAUAUCCAAACAAACAUCAAAUGUGACCGGCAGGUGUCACUUUAUGGUUAUUUAAGAGGAGCACACUUCAAAGAUAAAAGCCAAAUUCACAUGCCAGGACAAGGUGGGGCUCACCCAUGAGCUGGUCCAGAGUCUCAUCUCCACCUACUCCACCAUUGAUGCCAAGAUGGCUUCAAGUCGAGUGACGCUGCUUUCCAAUUCCAAACCACUUGGGUCAGAGGCUAUAGAUAAUCAAGGCUUUGGAGUUUAACCUUUCUGCCAAUCCAGAGGCAAGCACAAUAUUCCAGAGGAACUCUCAAACAGAUGCUUUGGAGUUUAACCCUUCUGCCAAUCCAGAGGCAAGCACAAUAUUCCAGAGGAACUCUCAAACAGAUGUUGUAGAAAUAAGAAGAAGCAACUGUACAAACCAUGUAUCUACUGAGCGUUUCAGUCAACAAUACAGCUCGUGUUCGACAAUAUUCCUUGAUGACAGCACAGCCAUCCAGCAUUAUCUUACAAUGACAAUAAUAUCUGUGACCUUGGAGAUACCUCAUCAUAUCACACAAAGAGAUGCAGAUAGAUCUUUGAGCAUACCUGAUGAACAGUUACACUCAUUUGCGGUUUCCACCGUGCACAUUAUGAAGAAAAGAAAUGGAGGUGGGAGUUUAAAUAACUAUUCCUCCUCCAUUCCACCGACUCCCAGCACCAGCCAGGAGGACCCUCAGUUCAGUGUUCCUCCCACUGCCAACACACCCACCCCCAUUUGCAAGCGGUCCAUGCGCUGGUCCAACCUGUUUACAUCUGAGAAAGGGAGUGACCCAGACAAAGAGAGGAAAGCCCCGGAGAAUCAUGCUGACACCAUCGGGAGCGGCAGAGCCAUCCCCAUUAAACAGGGCAUGCUCUUAAAGCGAAGUGGGAAAUGGCUGAAGACAUGGAAAAAGAAAUACGUCACCCUGUGUUCCAAUGGCGUGCUCACCUAUUAUUCAAGCUUAGGUGAUUAUAUGAAGAAUAUUCAUAAAAAAGAGAUUGACCUUCGGACAUCUACCAUCAAAGUCCCAGGAAAGUGGCCAUCCCUAGCCACAUCAGCCCGUGCACCCAUCUCCAGCUCUAAAAGCAAUGGCCUAUCCAAGGACAUGGACACCGGGCUGGGUGACUCCAUAUGCUUCAGCCCCAGUAUCUCCAGCACCACCAGCCCCAAGCUCAACCCACCCCCCUCUCCUCAUGCCAAUAAAAAGAAACACCUAAAGAAGAAAAGCACCAACAACUUUAUGAUUGUGUCUGCCACUGGCCAAACGUGGCACUUUGAAGCCACGACGUAUGAGGAGCGGGAUGCCUGGGUCCAAGCCAUCCAGAGCCAGAUCCUGGCCAGCCUGCAGUCAUGCGAGAGCAGUAAAAGCAAGUCCCAGCUGACCAGCCAGAGUGAGGCCAUGGCCCUGCGGUCGAUCCAAAACAUGCGUGGGAACGCCCACUGUGUGGACUGUGAGACCCAGAAUCCUAAGUGGGCCAGUUUGAACUUGGGAGUCCUCAUGUGUAUUGAAUGCUCAGGUAUCCACCGCAGUCUUGGCACCCGCCUUUCCCGUGUGCGAUCUCUGGAGCUGGAUGACUGGCCAGUUGAGCUCAGGAAGGUUAUGUCGUCUAUUGGCAAUGAGCUAGCCAACAGCAUCUGGGAAGGGAGCAGCCAGGGGCAGACAAAACCCUCAAUAAAGUCCACGAGGGAAGAGAAGGAACGGUGGAUCCGUUCCAAAUAUGAGGAGAAGCUCUUUCUGGCCCCACUACCCUGCACUGAGCUGUCUCUGGGCCAGCAGCUGCUGCGGGCCACCGCUGAUGAGGACCUGCAGACAGCCAUCCUGCUGCUGGCACAUGGCUCCCGUGAGGAGGUGAACGAGACCUGUGGGGAGGGAGACGGCUGCACGGCACUCCAUCUGGCCUGCCGCAAGGGGAAUGUGGUCCUGGAGCAGCUCCUGAUCUGGUACGGGGUGGACGUCAUGGCCCGAGAUGCCCACGGGAACACAGCGCUGACCUACGCCCGGCAGGCCUCCAGCCAGGAGUGCAUCAACGUGCUUCUGCAGUACGGCUGCCCCGACGAGUGCGUGUAGUAUCUGUUUUAUUUGACUGCAGUCUCCUUGGUG